rnacentral:lncRNA from 1 species
CAAGGAAAGCGUUCUACCAGCAGCUGUAACAGCAAGGGUUAGCAUUGAAGCUGCAUCAACAUUUGGGUGGGCAAAGAUAGUCGGAAGUGCAGGAAAGGCCAUCGGGAUUGACGGGUUUGGAGCCAGUGCUCCAGCUGGAAAAAUAUACAAGGAAUACGGCAUUACAGUCGAGGCAGUUGUUGCUGCAGCUAAGGAACUUUGCUAGGUAUUCAUCACUGAAUUCCAGUGGGCUUGUUAGUUUUCCAGAAACUAUUCCUGUUUGGAUUCUUGGUUGGAAAACUCAAACCAUAUGAUUGUUAAUAGACUAAACUCUAUUCAAGUACUCAUAAGAUUUCUCGCAAUAAUGAAGAUAAAAUUUUCUUUGCUGCUUUUAUCUUCAGUGCAGCAUCUGAGACUGCCAACUGAAUCAAAG